CUGCUGGGAACGUCCCUUCUCAGGCCCUUCCAUCUCGCAUUGGCCGGGUAUCUUGAUGGACCUGCAGGGCGGAGCUGAUCCCCAGGUCAGCUCCUUCAUCCCCUUCUCCUCCACAGUGGCCCCUCCGUCUGCCCGUGUUGGGUUCUGAUUCCUGCUCGGCAAUGGCCGGCCCUGCUGUCGCUCUACCUCCCAGGAAUAUCAGACAGCUGGCCAGGAGCAGGGACCUCUCCUAAUGCGUCCAUUUUCCUACGGUUACAACCAGUGCCCGCUCCUCAAUGCCAAGCUUCCUGUUUUCCCUGCAGGAACCCCCACAGCAUCAGGUCCAAAGCCCAGGCUGCAGGCAGGAAGGCUGCCAUUCUACGAAACCCAAGAGUGUUAAAUAAUUAACACCGAAGACGCCCACAAGAAAGCCCACCCCCGCUGUCUGUCCCAAGUGACAGCUGACAUUUUGACACGGUUUGCUCACCACCAGGACAGGAAACCCCUGUCUUAACUUUAAGAUCCCAAGGCAGGGCCUU